rnacentral:rRNA from 1 species
CAGCAGCCGCCGCGGUAAUACGUAGGGUGCAAGCGUUAAUCGGAAUUACUGGGCGUAAAGCGUGCGCAGGCGGUUAUAUAAGACAGAUGUGAAAUCCCCGGGCUCAACCUGGGAACUGCAUUUGUGACUGUAUAGCUAGAGUACGGCAGAGGGGGAUGGAAUUCCGCGUGUAGCAGUGAAAUGCGUAGAUAUGCGGAGGAACACCGAUGGCGAAGGCAAUCCCCUGGGCCUGUACUGACGCUCAUGCACGAAAGCGUGGGGAGCAAACAGGAUUAGAUAUCCCAGUAGUCCCUGUCUCUUAUAC